ensembl:lncRNA
CCCCAGCAAGUUCGAGGGCAGCCAGGAUAUUUUGCUGUUUGCCUCGAGAGAGCUCACUGGCCAGGUGUGUGGGAACACAGUCGGUGCAGGCUCAGGAAACCCCAGAGAGGCCUCUGGCCCUUUGACCAAAGGAACAGAAAGAGCUUCCCAGUCGACGUGGCCGAUGAGGGGUCAACCCAUUCACCUCUCCAAGGGAGGCGUCGGAUCACCAACCCCCUGCCCGUGAGGCCCAGUGCAGGCUCCAGCUCUAGCACUGGCCUCUCAUUACAAUCAGACUCCACCUCCAAAUCCUGUCCCUACAGCAGUGGGUGCUCCAGGUGCAGGAUCCAGGGAUCCACUGAGGGGAGAUCGAGACCUGAGACUUCCCUUCCCAAAGACACCGGGCCAGCUGGGUACUGGCCACACACUGGGAAUAUCGGACGUCUGUGCCUACAGGACCCCCAGCCACAGGCACCGAUGUCCCACCCCCUCAGCAAGAACAUCCACCCCCACCCGCACCUGUACCUGCCCAGGCUUUGGCAGAAGAACCCGAGUCAGAGGAUGAGUCACCACCUCUGCAGGGAGAGCCUGCCCUGGCUACUGGACAAGACCGAGAUUCCCAGGAUGACUGACCCAUCCCUGCAGGGAGAAUGGGCCCCCACUCUGGACAGAGACCCAGGGCUCUUUUGGGAAACACCUUGUCCAGGGGAGCAGUUGGCUCUGCAGCCUCCAUCCCUGCCUGCUUCCUGUGGAUGCCAUCAACUCGAUCCCCACUCAGGGCAGAUUGAGUGCCCUUCCCCCGAGCUUAUUUGCAUCUGGUGUGUGUGUAGCUUUCUUGUGAUGUUUUA